rnacentral:rRNA from 1 species
UACGUAGGGGGCGAGCGUUAUUCGGAAUUAUUGGGCGUAAAGAGCGCGCAGGCGGCUUUGCAAGUCGGGUGUGAAAUCCCGGGGCUCAACCCCGGGACUGCAUUCGAUACUGGCAGGCUAGAGGGAGGUAGGGGAGAGCGGAAUUCCUGGUGUAGCGGUGAAAUGCGCAGAUAUCAGGAGGAACAUCGGUGGCGAAGGCGGACCUCUGGGACAUCCCUGACGCUGAGGCGCGAAAGCGAGGGGAGCGAACAGG